GCAGUGGUGGGUCAGUGGUAGAAUUCUCGUCUUCCACGCGGGAGACCUGGGUUUGAUCCCAGCCCGUGCA
rnacentral:tRNA from 1 species